GCUGUGCGCACCAUCACGUGGUGAUCCUCGACCCUCUUACUUAGUAAAAUUGUCAUGAUUGAGGUAAAGGUGGAAGGGAAGAGAGCAAAGAGGAGAUAAACAAAAUAAAAAAGGUUAAGCGCAGCUGUUUCCACCACCAUCAUCUUGUUUUUGGUGGGCAAUAAUGUGUGAGUUUUUUUAAUUAAUUAUUACUUUAAUAUCCACGCCACUGAGAAACAGGGUAUUAGCUAUGAAAAACACCAAUGAUUCCUUCCUUCUUUCAUCUUUCCUUCUUCCCUUCCUCCAUCAAUAUGACAUCGCUGGAGUGUUUGAUGUCUAUAGAGCUAAUUUGAAUCAUUUUCUGUACUAAAAAUUGAACUUUGGUUGGUUCGUCCAGCCUCUACAGUUUAGCCUGGGAUUACGUUCAGAAUUUUCGAUGAUUUAACUUUGUGUGGAACUGUUGAUCUACAACCAACCAGGGCUUUUGAGGAUGUGAAGACUGCUUGGGACGGAUCCCUUGUUUACCUUGAAGCGUUGUUUAGGAGGGAUGCGGGAUGGGAUGGGUGUUAUGUGGUCAUCAAUUACGUAUCCAUCCAUUGGCAUGGAAUAAGUCGUGUGUGCGCGCAUGGCAGAACUUGGUCAGGACUUCAACUGUAAUGAAGAUAGAAGAAGAAGAAGAAAAAAAAAAGCAACCCUCAACUUUGAGUCUGCUAUCCCUCCAAAGAUACAAGACCUCUUUCUUUAUGGUUUGCUAUGUGGUCCCAGCUCUGCCAAUAAAAGGUCAAACUGCCCCACUGACAUCCUGAAAUAUGCACGAAAGCAGGC
ensembl:lncRNA